UACUGAUGCACGAAAAAAGAACGUAUCUGAUGGAUCAACGAAAAUAAAUGGACUUGAUCCUAGCUUUGACCAAAGUGGAGAAGAGCAACCUGAGGUGACACAGGUCUAUGACAGAACAGCUCUAACAGAACUCAUUCAUGACAGGGCUUUAUACACAGAAGAUGUUAGAGAUGGUAUACCUUUGUCUGGGCAUACCGAUCCUUGGACAGAUGACAUUAUCAAUAUACGGGACCAUCCAAGGCUUGAAAAUAUAUAGUAGAAGAUGCUUCCGCAUACUGUUUUGCCUGGUGAUACACGACGGGAUUCAACAAACAGC